rnacentral:tRNA from 1 species
AGCACGGUGGCCUCGCCGGUGCGGAAGCGGGCGGCUUCGGCGCGCCGCACUUCCGGGGAGAGGGCGCCGUAGAUCGUCGCCACGCUGUGUCC